GAUGAACGCUGGCGGCGUGUCUAAUACAUGCAAGUCGAGCGAACAGACGAGGAGCUUGCUCCUCUGACGUUAGCGGCGGACGGGUGAGUAACACGUGGAUAACCUACCUAUAAGACUGGGAUAACUUCGGGAAACCGGAGCUAAUACCGGAUAAUAUAUUGAACCGCAUGGUUCAAUAGUGAAAGACGGUUUUGCUGUCACUUAUAGAUGGAUCCGCGCCGCAUUAGCUAGUUGGUAAGGUAACGGCUUACCAAGGCGACGAUGCGUAGCCGACCUGAGAGGGUGAUCGGCCACACUGGAACUGAGACACGGUCCAGACUCCUACGGGAGGCAGCAGUAGGGAAUCUUGCGCAAUGGGCGAAAGCCUGACGGAGCAACGCCGCGUGAGUGAUGAAGGUCUUCGGAUCGUAAAACUCUGUUAUUAGGGAAGAACAAAUGUGUAAGAAACUAUGCACGUCUUGACGGUACCUAAACAGAAAGCCACGGCUAACUACGUG
rnacentral:rRNA from 1 species